rnacentral:rRNA from 1 species
CCUAUGGGUGGCUGCAGUGAGGAAUAUUGGUCAAUGGGCGCUAGCCUGAACCAGCCAAGUAGCGUGAAGGAUGACUGCCCUAUGGGUUGUAAACUUCUUUUAUAUGGGAAUAAAGUGCAGUAUGUAUACUGCUUUGCAUGUACCUUAUGAAUAAGGAUCGGCUAACUCCGUGCCAGCAGCAGCGGUCCUACGGAGGAUCCGAGCGUUAUCCGGCUUUAUUGGGUUUAAAGGGAGCGUAGGCGGGUUGUUAAGUCAGUUGUGAAAGAUUGCGGCUAAACCGUACAAUUGCAGUUGAUACUGGCAUCCGUGAGGACAGGAGAGGUAGGCGGAAUUCGUGGUGUAGCGGUGAAAUGCUGAGAUAUCACGAAGAACUCCGAUUGCGAAGGCAGCCUGCUGGACUGUAACUGACGCUGAUGCUCGAAAGUGUGGGUAUCAAACAGGAUUAGAUACCCUUGUAGUC